AGGCAGGCUUUGGAAAACAAUUAUAAUUAAGACUUAACCAGAAAAAGCACAACAAGUUACCUGCAGCAUUCACUUUCUGCUCUCAACCCUGGCAGAGGCAGGCUUUGGAGUAGCCUGGAUGGAGGCAAUGAUUUGAUGCGGCCUGCACCAGCUGACUGAAAGGGCCCAAGACCAAGAAACAGAAACAGGAUCCAGCAGGUGAACAGCAUCAACUCAUCCAGCUAAUACUGAAGGUGAUGUCUGGUGCUGCGGGCAGAGUCUGAGAAGAUCCGCUUCUGAGCUCGCAAUAAGAAUUCCUGUACUGUUAUUUUGAGAUACAACAUCAUUUACCAGAUAUUUCAGCAGAUACUGGAGUGGGGCUCUAGGGACCUCUACAAGAAAAACACAUUGGAUUUCUAACACAUCUCCCCAUGAGAUUCAAGAUGGUAGAUGAGUAUAAGGAGUUAAUAAAGGAGGAAAGUGUGAAGAAAGAGGAAUUGUUGGCUCUGGCAAGAAUAGAAAUUAACUGAUGCGGUUGCUCAUGGAGGUGGAUCAGAAUACAGGUGUCAGAGGAAGCCAGGCAUGGGCCACCACUGUUUCAUUUGGCACUGUG